AUUGAACGCUGGCGGCAUGCCUAACACAUGCAAGUCGAACGGGGUAGCAAUACCCAGUGGCGGACGGGUGAGGAAUACAUAGGAAUUUGCCUUUAGGUGGGGGAGUAGCCCGGGGAAACGUACGGAGUAAUACCGCAUGAUGUCGAAAGACCAAAGUAGGGGAGUCGCAAGACCUUGCGCCUUUAGAGAAGCCUAUGUCUGAUUAGCUAGUUGGUAGGGUAAUGGCCUACCAAGGCGACGANCAGUAACUGGUCUGAGAGGACGAUCAGUCACACCGGAACUGAGACACGGUCCGGACUCCUACGGGAGGCAGCAGUGGGGAAGUAUUGGACAAUGGGCGAAAGCCUGAUCCAGCAAUGCCGCGUGUGUGAAGAAGGCCUCGGUUGUAAG
rnacentral:rRNA from 1 species